rnacentral:rRNA from 1 species
UACGUAGGUGGCUAGCGUUGUCCGGAUUUACUGGGCGUAAAGAGCGCGCAGGCGGUCGUUCAAGUCGAGUGUGAAAGCCCCCGGCUCAACUGGGGAGGGUCACUCGAUACUGAUCGACUCGAAGGCAGGAGAGGGAAGUGGAAUUCCCGGUGUAGUGGUGAAAUGCGUAGAGAUCGGCAGGAACACCCAGGGGGAAACCAGUCGACUGGGCAUCUACUGACGCUGAGGUGCGAGAGCGUGGGGAGCGAACCGG